AAACUUUCAACAACGGAUCUCUUGGUUCUGGCAUCGAUGAAGAACGCAGCGAAAUGCGAUAAGUAAUGUGAAUUGCAGAAUUCAGUGAAUCAUCGAAUCUUUGAACGCACAUUGCGCCCCUCGGAAAUUCCGGGGGGCAUACCUGUCCGAGCGUCAUUA
rnacentral:rRNA from 1 species